rnacentral:rRNA from 1 species
AUUAGCCUGCGAGUCUUUGGCAGCAAUGCCAGGCAAACUGCUGAGUACCGUAGUUAACCUGCCCUUAAGUCUGGGAUAAUCUCGGGAAACUGAGCAUAAUACCAGAUAGAUGAUAAUACCUGGAACGGUUUAUCACAUAAAGCUUCGGCGCUCAAGGAUGGGACUGCGGUAGAUUAGGUUGAUGUUAGGGUAACUGCCUAACAUGCCGAUAAUCUAUAGGGGCUGUGAGAGCAGUAGCCCCCAGAUGGGUUCUGAGACACGAACCCAGGUCCUAAGGGACGCAGCAGGCGCGAAACCUCCGCAAUGCACGCAAGUGUGACGGGGGGACCUCAGGUGCUAGCACUAAAAGUGUUAGCUUUUCGUGAGUUUAAAUUGCUCGCGGAAUAAGUGGUGGGUAAGACCGUUGCCAGCCGCCGCGGUAAUAACGGCACCACAAGUGGUGAUCACGCGUAUUGGGUCUAAAGCAUCCGUAGCCGGAUAACCAAGUCAUUUGUGAAACUUCACAGAAAGCUGUGAAAAAGUGCAAGUGAAACUAGUUAUCUUGGGACCGGGAAGGGUUAGAGGUACUUCUAGGGUAGAGGUGGAAUUCUGUAAUCCUAGAGGGACCACCUGUNGGCGAAGGCGUCUAACUGGGAAC